CUACGGGCCGCUCCAGUGAGGAAUAUUGCACAAUGGGGGGAACCCUGAUGCAGCAACGCCGCGUGGAGGAUGACGCACUUCGGUGUGUAAACUCCUUUUAUAUGUCAAGAAAAUGACGGUAGCAUAUGAAUAAGCACCGGCUAACUCCGUGCCAGCAGCCGCGGUAAUAUGGAGGGUGCAAGCGUUACUCGGAAUCACUGGGCGUAAAGGACGCGUAGGCGGGUUGGAAAGUCAGGUGUGAAAUCCUACAGCUUAACUGUAGAACUGCACUUGAAACUUCUAAUCUAGAGUAUGGGAGGGGGAGAUGGAAUUAGUGGUGUAGGGGUAAAAUCCGUAGAUAUCACUAGGAAUACCUAAAGCGAAGGCGAUCUCCUGGAACAUUACUGACGCUAAGGCGUGAAAGCGUGGGGAGCAAACAGGAUUAGAUACCCCCGUAGUC
rnacentral:rRNA from 1 species